ensembl:lncRNA
AUGAAAAGAUUAAGUUCAGUGAUGCUUGUGAAAGUUGGUAGAACUAUGUUUUCAUCUUGUCUAUCAAAGUUUCCUUCUUUCCAGAUCUGGUCAGCUGAGCAUUGCUGCAGGAGUUCUUGGCUCCAGUUUAGGAAAUGUUCAGUGAAAAAUAUGAUACAUAUUCUUUUCCUGGGGAAUCAAACCAACAGGAUCUGUUGUCAAGCCUCUUUGGCAGUGUUAUUUCAAAUGGUGGUCUCUCUGCAUGCUUGAGGAAGGAUGACCUGGAGGAAGGAAGCUGACUGGAGGAUACUGUUUGUGCUCCUUGGUCAAGGAUUUGUGUCAACAUGAUCUUGUUGGCAGAAGAAUGUUCUUAAGGUUGAAACCGCUACUAUCCAGAAUGAAUAUGAGGAAUGUUUCCUCCGUGGGAAAACCUUCAUUAUCUGAAAAGGCAAAAUGUGCUUUCUUAUGCAUAAGUGAGAUAUUGAACAUACCAGACACAAAAUGUUUGCAUGUAGAAAAGUAUUCCUCACUAGGUAGUCAGAAGCUGGAUGUUUGCAGCCUUCUAGAAUAUGAAUGACCUGCAUACACAGUCUGCGAACACAUGGGAUCAAAGCAAGAUAUGUGAGCAUGGAGAUUUGACUCAACUCAAACACAUGGAGACUUGGUGAGUUCAUUCAUUCAAACGAGCCAAUCAGUGAGUGCCACACAAGCGCUACGUCACGUCUGGUGACGUCAGAUCCCUAUGUCACUUCCACUUACGUGUCACACCUCCUACGUCACAUUAUUGGUGAGUUCGUUCAUUCGAAUGAGCCAAUCAGCAAGUGCCACACAAGCGCUACAUCACGUCUCGUGACGUAGGAGGUGUGACCCCUAAGCGGGAGUGAUGUAGGGAUCUAAGCACUGUUAUGUGCCUUGCAUUUCUUUAUCUGCAAAGAGGAUCCUGAAUGAUAUGGAUUCCUCUUCUUGAAACUAGAGCUGGGAAAAGACUUGUCAUGAAAAGCAGAUUUCACAUUUGCUAUAAAGGAUUAGUGUUAUUCACAGAAUCCAGUUUCUUUUAGCCUUUUUGACACUGAUAACAAAAGAUAGAUAUAUGUGUACUGCAGAUGGAAAUCUACAGAGAAGCAAUUGAGGUCUUUGAAGUCUGUUUAAAUAUUGGGACUGAAAAGGAAAAAUCAUUCCUCUAUAGAAACUUCCUUUUGUGGAGGGAGAAGGGACAGAUAGCUGGUAGAUGCUCACAAUAAUGUAUAGGAAAGGGUGAUGUUUCUUGGUAACAUCACCCAAAUCAGUUCUCCUUCUCCCCACUUCUAUGGUUCAUUGAGUCAAUGAACCAUAGAAAAGAGAGGAAAUCUGAUUUCUUAGAUGCAAAUAAUUCUUUCUCCAAUGCGUAAAAAAAUGCAAAUGUUUUCUUUUACUUUGGCACAAGAUACUUUCAUUUCUCUGAAUGAGUUUGCUUUGAUACUUUGCUCCCCUUGACAGAAGCUUCAGUUUUCUCUCCCAGAGGCUGGUUACGUUGCCAAGAGAGGGCAGCAAACAAGCACAGGAACUGCAUGCCUGGCCCUAUAUUAGGUCACAUGGGAAUACAAGGAAUCAUUAGGACACGAGAUCUGUGCCUUACUAUAAUUACUGCCAGCUGCACUUAACCUGCUGUUAUUUCGCUUUUACUGCAAAAGCAAACCUCUGAAUUUCAUUUUUUUUUCUUUCUGUUUUCUUUCAAAUAAAAUAAAUAAGCCCA